rnacentral:rRNA from 1 species
GACUCGUCACACUAUCAUUAACUGAAUCCAUAGGUUAAUGAGGCGAACCGGGGGAACUGAAACAUCUAAGUACCCCGAGGAAAAGAAAUCAACCGAGAUUCCCCCAGUAGCGGCGAGCGAACGGGGAGGAGCCCAGAGCCUGAAUCAGCAUGUGUGUUAGUGGAAGCGUCUGGAAAGGCGCGCGAUACAGGGUGACAGCCCCGUACACAAAAGCGCAUGUGCUGUGAGCUCGAUGAGUAGGGCGGGACACGUGGUAUCCUGUCUGAAUAUGGGGGGACCAUCCUCCAAGGCUAAAUACUCCUGACUGACCGAUAGUGAACCAGUACCGUGAGGGAAAGGCGAAAAGAACCCCGGCGAGGGGAGUGAAAAAGAACCUGAAACCGUGUACGUACAAGCAGUGGGAGCACCCUUUGGGGUGUGACUGCGUACCUUUUGUAUAAUGGGUCAGCGACUUAUAUUCUGUAGCAAGGUUAACCGAAUAGGGGAGCCGGAG